rnacentral:rRNA from 1 species
AGACUGAACGCUGGCGGCAUGCCUAACACAUGCAAGUCGAACGGCAGCACAGCCCCGCAAGGGGUGGGUGGCGAGUGGCGGACGGGUGAGGAAUACAUCGGAAUCUGCCCUGUUGUGGGGGAUAACCCAUCGAAAGGUGGGCUAAUACCGCAUGAGACGGUGACGUGAAAGCGGGGGACCAGCAAUGGCCUCGCGCGACGGGAUGAGCCGAUGUCGGAUUAGCUAGUUGGUAGGGUAAAGGCCUACCAAGGCUACGAUCCGUAGCUGGUCUGAGAGGAUGAUCAGCCACACUGGGACUGAGACACGGCCCAGACUCCUACGGGAGGCAGCAGUGGGGAAUAUUGGACAAUGGGCGCAAGCCUGAUCCAGCAAUGCCGCGUGUGUGAAGAAGGCCUUCGGGUUGUAAAGCUACGUUUUAGUCGGGUAGACGGAAAAGCGGAUGGUAGAAUACCUAUCCGUGCUGACGGUACCGAGGAAUAAGCACCGGCUAACGUUCGCGACCG